rnacentral:rRNA from 1 species
GUCAGGUGGACUACCCGCUAACUGGAGCAUUCAAUAAGCGGA